AUAUAAUGAAAUGACUUUUAAUACAUACACUUUUUGCUGUUAACUUGAUGAAUAAACAAAAAGUUCAUGUAAUGGUUUUAUUGCCCUUUACCAAGUUAAAAAAAAAAAUACACAUUACAGAAGUAGCAGCAACUUUUAAUUACAAGCAAAGGUUGACUCUACCCCCAAAUAACUUCUUGUUUUGGUAUCAGCAAAUAAUUUAAACUUCAAAUAGUUAUAUUGAAUAUUUAAAUUCAUUGGUUAAAUAUGGCUUAAACAGUCAAAUACGUGAUCCAAACAAGGCGAGUGCAAGAUGAACCCAGCAGCACAUGAGGAUAUCUGUAAACAUGGCUGUUUACAAUGGUGAAUCGUUUUUAUUGACUAAAUACACCAAACACAAAAGUAAUGCUACUUCUUCUCAUAAUGGACUAGGACAGGAGAAUUGCUUCAGUUUCUUGCUG
rnacentral:lncRNA from 1 species